rnacentral:rRNA from 1 species
CAGUUCGGACUGUAGUCUGCAACCCGACUACACGAAGCUGGAAUCGCUAGUAAUCGCGGAUCAGAAUGCCGCGGUGAAUACGUUCCCGGGUCUUGUACACACCGCCCGUCACACCAUGGGAGUCAGUAACGCCCGAAGUCAGUGACCUAACCGAAAGGGAGGAGCUGCCGAAGGCGGGACGGAUGACUGGGGUGAAGUCGUAACAAGGUAUC